ensembl:piRNA 21ur-6576 ncRNA
UUAAUUUAAAGCACGAGACUU